rnacentral:rRNA from 1 species
AGUGAGCGCUGGCGGUAGGCCUAACACAUGCAAGUCGAACGGCAGCACAGUAAGAGCUUGCUCUUACGGGUGGCGAGUGGCGGACGGGUGAGGAAUACAUCGGAAUCUACUUUUUCGUGGGGGAUAACGUAGGGAAACUUACGCUAAUACCGCAUACGACCUACGGGUGAAAGCAGGGGAUCUUCGGACCUUGCGCGAUUGAAUGAGCCGAUGUCGGAUUAGCUAGUUGGCGGGGUAAAGGCCCACCAAGGCGACGAUCCGUAGCUGGUCUGAGAGGAUGAUCAGCCACACUGGAACUGAGACACGGUCCAGACUCCUAAGGGAGGCAGCAGUGGGGAAUAUUGGACAAUGGGCGCAAGCCUGAUCCAGCCAUACCGCGUGGGUGAAGAAGGCCUUCGGGUUGUAAAGCCCUUUUGUUGGGAAAGAAAAGCAGCAGGUUAAUACCCCGCUGUUCUGACGGUACCCAAAGAAUAAGCACCGGCUAACUUCGUG